GACGAACGCUGGCGGCGUGCCUAAUACAUGCAAGUCGAACGCAUUUUCUUUCACCGUAGCUUGCUACACCGAAAGAAAAUGAGUGGCGAACGGGUGAGUAACACGUGGGUAACCUGCCCAUCAGCGGGGGAUAACACUUGGAAACAGGUGCUAAUACCGCAUAAUUCCAUUUACCGCAUGGUAAAUGGAUGAAAGGCGCUUUUGCGUCACUGAUGGAUGGACCCGCGGUGCAUUAGCUAGUUGGUGGGGUAACGGCCUACCAAGGCUGCGAUGCAUAGCCGACCUGAGAGGGUGAUCGGCCACACUGGGACUGAGACACGGCCCAGACUCCUACGGGAGCAGCAGUAGGGAAUCUUCGGCAAUGGACGCAAGUCUGACCGAGCAACGCCGCGUGAGUGAAGAAGGUUUUCGGAUCGUAAAACUCUGUUGUUAGAGAAGAACAAGGAUGAGAGUGGAAAGUUCAUCCCUUGACGGUAUCUAACCAGAAAGCCACGGCUAAC
rnacentral:rRNA from 1 species